rnacentral:lncRNA from 10 species
AUGGCAAACUCCAAUCAUAAGGCGAUCCUAUCAGGUGAUCCCAGUGUGCCCACUAAGGACUCAGGAGUGAUUUGCAUUCCCGUCUAAGUGUGCAAAAUCUUGCUACUGAACAGGAGGAGAAAACCUUGAAAAAUAUUCAAAGCUGAAUAUGGUUCAGCAGUGACCUUCGAGCUGCGGGUUGUUGGAGCAUCCUCCUGCCUGAUACACUGCGGUGCGAGGUGCUGCCCUGCUGCCAACUGCCUCCAGAUGACAGGGAUCCAUCAGGAAACUCCGUCCGAGACACUAAUUGUGGGCCCCCGAAGUUAUUAUUAUGAACCACCAGACAAGAGCCUGUAUUCGCCAGCAAUUUGUCAGGACUAAUUUUGUUUUUCUCCAAUAAUUGAAAAUUAAUGUCUUGAAGUGAAAGCAGAUGUUCAUGUCAUCUUCUGAAUUGGGAUAUAAAAUGGGGCUCUGUGGAUGUGCUAAUUUAACAGCAAUUUCCCUCUCCCAGAUAAUGGGGGUGCUGGGGCUGAUGUCACCUUUGGAGCAGGGACCAGGGGCCGGGAGAGAGACAGAGGCCUGGGUUAUGCUUGUGCUUCUCGAGGGUUUGUUUUGGAGGGAGAACCCAUACAGAAAAAGAUUUGCUUGUGCUAUGAAAGUUGGAGAACUCACUGUUUUGAAUAUUCAUUUGCAGAAGAAGUAUUUUUUGAGGUAAUUCAAGCAUUAUGCUGGGGAGCCUUUGUUUGGGGAAAGGGUGGCUUCAUACAGAUGAGUGGAUCCCCAGCUGUCAUGCCUAUCACCGUCACCUACAAUAAAGCUGGUUAAAUUGCAUAUUCCUGGGCCCAGGUCCUGCAGAUGCUCACCUGGCUGGUCUGAGGAGGGGCUUAGAUCUCUUCAUCCCCCAACUCCUGCUUUUAAGCAAUUUUGAUAAAAUAUACGUAACUUAAAAUUUACCAUCUUAACCAUUUUUUUUUCCUUUUUUUACAG